UGGGGAAUAUUGCACAAUGGGGGAAGACCCUGAUGCAGCGACGCCGCGUGAAGGAUGAAGUAUUUCGGUAUGUAAACUUCUAUCAGCAGGGAAGAAAAUGACGGUACCUGACUAAGAAGCCCCGGCUAACUACGUGCCAGCAGCCGCGGUAAUACGUAGGGGCGAAGCGUUAUCCGGAUUUACUGGGUGUAAAGGGAGCGUAGACGGCUGUGCAAGUCUGAAGUGAAAGCCCGGGGCUCAACCCCGGCAGCGUUGGAAUGACUGUGUAGCUUGAGUGCCGGAGAGGUAAGCGGAAUUCCUAGUGUAGCGGUGAAAUGCGUAGAUAUUAGGAGGAACACCAGUGGCGAAGGCGGCUUACUGGACGGUAACUGACGUUGAGGCUCGAAAGCGUGGGGAGCAAACAGGAUUAGAUACCC
rnacentral:rRNA from 1 species